UUUGAACAUGCACAUCUCAAACUUAAGAGUUCAAGAUGCAUUUCAACUUGCAUUAUUGGAAGGGGAAUCAUUAUAGCUUAGAACAUUGGAGGGGAUUGAAGGUAUCAACUCUAGCUAUUUGAAUUGUUUUCUAUAGCAUAAAUUCUAUCAUUAUAAGUAUAUGUUUUGUAGUUUAGUUUUCUCCUAGCAAAAUAUAAACAUAUUUUUAUUCUAUAAAUGGGUUUUAAUUAGUAUCUUAUUUUGAUCAACCAAAACAAAUUCGCUAAGCAAAAUUAUAGUCUUCAAGGGGUAGCUUGAGUGGCAAUUUGGUUCCAUUAUUGUUAAAUGCAAUGCUUCUUUACUUUAUCAAUACAUAUUUAUAAUUUUUAUUUCCUGUUCAGUUCAUCUAAACUAUUAAAAAUUUUAUUGGUACAUCCAUAUUGACUCUUUAUAACUUUUAUUUCUUGUUAAGUUCAUCUAAACUAUUUUAAAUUUUAUUAUUUUAUUGAUCCGACAAUUCAAUAUUGGGGCCAAUAUGAUUAUUCACUAAUUGUGUAGGAAUUAUUCAAUCUCUAUUAGGGCCUUAUUUUUUAUUUGUUCAGCAAUGUAUUUCCCAGAUGUGGCUUAUAAUUUAUUUUUUGUUGAUUUUUUAAAUAGAAAAUAAAAUAUGCCCCAUUUUUAGAUGUUGCUUAUAAUUUAUUUUUGGUUUAUUUUUUAAAUAGAAAUAAAAUAUGGUCUUAGCAUUAGAGGGUUUGGUAAUCUGACCAUGUUCUUUUUGUUUCUUACCAUAUUUAAUUAUAUAGUCUGUAUAUUCUCAAGCAUAAGAAUUGCGGUUGUUUCUUUGAUUAAAGAAAAUUGAUUUAAUGACAUCAAGGUUUUUAAGAUCUUCGAUUUGUUAGUUCUAUUUUCUUUGAAAAGAGUUAUUGUAAUAAGACUGAUGGUAAGUGAUAUUUGCCAAAAGAAAAAAAAAAAAAAAAAAGGUGAAAAAGAAGAAAAAAAAAAAUUUCUCCGACAAGAUCAUAUUAGUUUUUGUUUCAAAUUGGACUUCUAUUGACCAUAUGGAAUGGUUUCACAUGAUAAAACAUUAAAAGAGAAGCGCUGUGUAGAGAGAGUCUCCAACCUAUCAGUCUUCUUUGCUCGUUCUUGAAAGAAAGACUUAUGUAAUCUUAAGUUGGGGAAAUACAAUUUUUUUUUUUAUAAUAAUAAUCACCCCUUAUAAUAUUGGCAACAACGUGGUCUUAUUACAAAUUUUGAGAAACACUUCAAUCCAAUAAAAAUCUCAAAUCUAGAGGUUUCUUUCAUGAAUUUUUGUGGGUUUAGGUCUCAAAUGGACCUAAAACGCACCCUUUAAAAGCUUUUAUUUUUUAGUUUUAUGUUUUUUAUUUUAUUUUAUUUUUUUAAAAAUUUCAUUUCUAACCUUGGAUGAGGCGCAAGCACUGGGCGGCCGCCCAGGGCGGAUGUUGAACGCCCGCGUAGGCGGGUGCCAUAAUACCUAGGCCGGCGCUCAAAAACUACCGCCCGCUGCCUAGUUUGACUGCCUAGGCGUGAGCGAUGCGCCCAAGCCUUCUGGACCAUCAAGCGGCCGGGUAAGUGUUGGACGGUCCACAUUUUGAAACAAUAUUUUUAUUGUGUUUUUUAAUAUUUUAAUAUAAUAGUGCAAAAUUUAUCUUGCUAGUUAAAAGAAAAACUGCCACCAUAUCAGAUCCUGAUCUAUGUUAUGCUCAUUUCUAUAAUGGUUUUAGGUUCCACUUCGACCCAAAAUUUUAGGAUAUUAGUGUCUGCCUACAAGAGGAGGAUGCAUUGCAGAAGCUACGAAUUUUUUUGAAUGUAUGAUUCUUUGGUGGUAUGGAUUUGGAAAAUAAUUUAAACUGUUUUGGAUGUAUAGUUGGAAAAUAAUUUGAAGAUGGCAUUUUUGUGUUUUAGGUUCCACCUUGACCCAUUACGCGGAAUUUCAAGACAUUGACAUGUGCUUACAAGAGGAGUACGCACUACAGAAGCUUUCAAGAUAUUGACUCGUGCUUACAUGAGGAGUACGCACUCCAGAAACUCUAAACUGUUUUAGAUAGAUGAUUAUUUAGUGAUAUGGGAUUGGAAAAUAAUUCGGAGCGGGUAUAUUUGUCUCAGAGGAAAAAAUCAAAAGGUAUAGACUCCACAUUCUGUGUACUCUCGUGGGAAACAACCACACUAACCUUAUGUAAAAAAGUCUAUAUAUCCUAACCUGUUAUUGAGUGUACAAAAGUCUGGCACAGUGUAAAAAGUCUUUACAUUGUAUGAACCUUACGUAGAAAGUUAAACUUUAUGUGGAGAGUGAUGGUUUUGUUGCUAACUUUAUAAUUUGACUGAUAAGUUGAUAUUACACUUAUAAUGGAAUAAUAAUUGACUAAUAUUCAAAGUUGACAUGCAAUCGAUAAUAAUAUUAAGUAAAUUGCUGCUUGGAGCAAUACAACGUGUUAUUUUUG
rnacentral:lncRNA from 1 species